rnacentral:rRNA from 1 species
AUGGUGGCCCUGAGCGCCUGCAGCGCUCCGUGGAGCCUGGCGGAGCCGCGGAGGCUGUUGCAGGCCAGCAGGCGCAGCUCGUCCUCCACGUCCCGCCGGAUGGUGGGCGCGCGCAGCAGCGUGCCCCGGAACGCGAUCACCGCGCUGGGCGCGCCGGUGGGCCUCUCCUCCUCCCCGCGGCGGUCGAGCAGGUGGCGGUCCUCCCACUCGAAGAUGGCGCCGAAGACGGAGCCGUCGCGCUCGUCCACCAGCUCGUGCGCGAGGCGGUAGCUGAAGGGCUUCCACCACUGCUGCGCCACCUCCGCCGCGUCCCGCCGCUCCUGCCUCUCCAGCUCCAGCAGGUACACCGCCUCGAUCAGGCUCGCCAUCACCAUCCUCCUGUAA